UUGCAGUGAUGUAUUGCCAACACAUCAUUCUGAAGAAAAGUGUGUGGUGAUUUCCUAAUACUAUGAGCAUA
rnacentral:snoRNA from 1 species